CCUCUCUCGGACUUAGCCACGCCCUUCAUUAGAUCCUGAGGGGAUUUUUCAGAACAGAGGUUAUGGCAGUUUCACCAUCCAAUUCCAUUUUUAGCAGGUGUGCUUCCUGGCCAAAGGAGUCAGAUGAGUGCAUGAGCAGCCCCUUCGAGGACAAGGCUUGGAUUCCCAGGAGCAGACAAGGAACUCUGUGGGCAUACUCCAAGGAAACUGGUGCCAAUCCACAAAUGCCCACUCCUACAUCUUCUCCCUCCACCCUCCAUUGUGCCACUAUGAUGCUGCUCCUCAACUCACCCAACUUUUCGAAACCCACCACUCCAGCCUCCUCCUACGUUCGAGCAUCACAUCUCC
ensembl:lncRNA